rnacentral:rRNA from 1 species
UACGCAGGGGGCUAGCGUUGUUCGGAAUUACUGGGCGUAAAGCGCGCGCAGGCGGCUAUCCAAGUCAGUGGUGAAAGCCCGGAGCUCAACUCCGGAACUGCCAUUGAAACUGUUUAGCUUGAGGACGAGAGAGGUGAGUGGAAUUCCCAGUGUAGAGGUGAAAUUCGUAGAUAUUGGGAAGAACACCGGUGGCGAAGGCGGCUCACUGGCUCGUAUCUGACGCUCAGGCGCGACAGCGUGGGGAUCAAACAGG